rnacentral:lncRNA from 1 species
CAGAAGCAGCAGUACACUACCAGCUCUUGAUCUAGAAGUCCAGAUAAGACUACAACUACAGUUUUCUACAUGCUGCUCACUCCCUGCAUUACUACCUGUAGGUAGCACGGUUUUUAACAACAUAAAGAAUACAGUUAAGAAUCAAAGCCAGUGGGUAUUUAUUCAUUGUUUUCCAACAGAAGCACAAGUUCAAUGCCUGCACCCCCUUAUACUGUGAGUUGUCAUAGUCAAUGCGAGAGCUCUAGAAACAUUCUUUCUUAAUCAAGAUUUAUUUGGCUUUUGUUUGGUGAUCACAGACACUACAAUUUUACAACUGUUCUUAUUCACAUAGUUUCUUUUUAAUAUAAAAACUAUAGUUUUAUUUUUUUCUAAGCCUAUUUCAAAUAUCUUUUAUUUGAACUUUGUAGACAAGCUCUCCUUUAAAACUAAAUGUGAAGUACCAGCUGACAUUCAGUCUAUCAGUCAGAAACUUUUACCUAUUCAGUACUUAAAGAUAAAAGUUUCCAGUCUUUGACGUGGCAGUUACAAAGUUGUUGGAAAAUAAACCUACACCUACCAAAAAUAACUUUGUCACAGAUAUACAUUACUCGUCAAGAAAUCCAACACUAGGGAGCAGUUCACGAGAUAAGCAAUUCUACUGAUGGUACAACCACAGAUAAAUAACUAAAAUGUUAAGAUGUUCUCAACAUAUUACAAAUUCCGACGUCUGUGUUGCGCUUCAUUUAAUAAGAUAGAAAAACUCUUCCUCCCAAUCUGUGGAACGAGAAGCCACGUUAAGACUUCAAAAAGCCUCUCCGUUUUGUAACAUCCCAUUAAUUUCCGGUUUCGUAGAAAACAGACAACCAGUACAUGAUUUUACCACUUAAAAAAAUCAUUUACACUUAUCAAAAUAUGUAAAAAAAAAAUGGAUCGAGUUGGGAUUCUCUCCUUUUAAAAACGUGCUUUUUAGAACUACUAAAAAACUUGCAUUUACAAAAUAGUUGAUAAAAAUAUUCCUCUGAAUUAUACAAGAAGAAAAGUAUAAGGAUCACCAAUUAAACACUUGGUACCAGAUGUUAUUCAGACUUCACCUCUUCUUUCUCUACCGCUGCAUCAGAUGCUGGGGUCUCCUCACUUUUAGUUUCUCCAUUUUCUGCAGGCAAGUUGUCCUUUAUCUGCUCUUGGUUUGUCUCUUCAGUCUGUUUUCCUUUAGGCCCCUUUUUCCCCUUUGAUUGAGCUUUCUUGUUCUCAGAUUUAUCCUUAGCCGCCAACGCCUUAGCUUUAGGCUCCGCUUUGUCAGGCACAGGUUUGGCGGACAGCCGCGCCGAUCUCCUCUUCGGUACCUCCUCAGCGGCCUCCGCGCCGCUGGCGGCCACCUACCAACACAAACGGCACGCGUCAGGCGGCGCAUGCGCAGCGCGCAGAGGCGGGCCGGCUGAGAGCACGUGACGCGCCGCUCGGCCCGCCCCUUCUCUCCGCCGCCGCUUUCGGAUCGCCAGCCUCGGCCGAGCGCCCGCCGCGCGCCGCCGAACCUUCCAGACGACGCCGCUGAAGAGAGCGGUGGUGCCCAGCGCUGGCUUUCUUCGGCGCGCUGCCCGCCGCCGAGUUCAGCCGGGCGGCGACAGCCGCUUCCCUCGUCCCCCUUUUUUUCCUCGUUCCCCCCCCCACGCUCAACGUUCCCCGCCUCCGCUGUUCCCCCCUCGCUUCACCUUUCUCUUCGGCAUGGCGAAGCGCACGGUGGCUCCCGCCCGGCUGCUGCUGCGCUCUGAGUGCCUCACCGCCAGGCGCUGCGCAGGGAAACCGCCCCCCCCAUCCCAGCAGCGCCAGCGGCGCCGCAACAGGAUCCAGCCGGAUUGGCGGGGGAGAGGCGGGGCAGGGGGCGACGCGCUCCACGCUCGGCGGCAGCCGCCAGCGCCGCCUCCCGCGGGGCAGCAGCGGGGGGGGGGGGGGUGGACUGCGCCGGGCCUCCCCUCACGGCGGGGCGGGG